GCUUACUGUAUAAAGAGUCGAACCUGCCCGGUGAUAUAUAUUUAACGGCCGCGGUACUCUGACCGUGCAAAGGUAGCAUAAUCAUUUGCCCUGUAAUUGAGGGCUUGUAUGAAUGGUUUGACAAGAGCAAAACUGUCUCUCUAAAGUUUUUUAGAACUUGGUUUUUAGGUGAAGAAACCUAAAUUUAAUUGAAAGACAAGAAGACCCUAUCGAGCUUGAAAUAAAUUUAUCAAAAACUGUGCUUGUAAUUAAUCAGUUUUGAUAAAAGAUUUUGGUUGGGGCGACUAAGGAACAAAAAAAGCUUCCUCUAUUCAAAAAUACUGAUAAGUCUUGAUCCAGAAAGUCUGAUUAAAAGAAUUAGUUACCGUAGGGAUAACAGCAUAAUCUUUUUUAAGAGUUCUUAUCGAAAAAAAGGUUUGUGACCUCGAUGUUGGACUAGGAUAUCCUAAUAGAUGCAGAAGUC
rnacentral:rRNA from 1 species